UUUGUCCCCUAUCUCCAUGUCAUUCUCUAGCCUCAUACCAUGAUAUAUUUUCUUUUGAAUACUUGUCAACAUAUGAAACCAUUGAUUACAUAAUUUAAUUAUGUUUUCUUUUCAUUCUACAAGAAAGUAAGUUCCAAGAAGUAGAGUCCUUGUCUGUCUUGUUCACCUGUGAACCUGCAGUGAGGAAAACUGGACAGAGAAGAGAAGUGAUGAGGUUGAUUGUUACUGUGUCUGACUGUCGCUAAGUAAUGAAAGGAAGAGACACCAGGGGUUCUGCACAUGGAGCAAAGGUCAUGUGAAGACACAGUGAGAAGAUAGUUGUCUACAAGCCAAAGAGAGAAGCCUUAAGACAAACCAGCCCUGCCAACACCCGGAACUGCAUUAUUCUGUAUUUGGAUUCCUGCCCAGCUGUGAUGCUGUUUUCCCUCCAGCUAACUAACCCCAGAACUCUUCAUUCAAGCCAUGCUCCAAUUUAAUUCUCUCACACGUGUCUUACCCUCUAAUGGGUCACCUUUCUCUUCCCUGUGGCACCCCAAGUCCACUGGGAAAGAAAUGAAGGAUUCAACACUCUCAAACUUUCUUCUUAUUUCAUACCUUUGUUUUUAUUUUUAUGUUUUUCAUUCUGU